rnacentral:rRNA from 1 species
AUUCCAGCUCCAAUAGUGUAUAUUAAAGUUGUUGCAGUUAAAAAGCUCGUAGUUGGAUUUCUGGCGGGAGCGAUCGGUCCUUCACUCAGUGUUGGAACCUGAUUGUCUCCUGCCAUCCAUGGAGAAAACUUAUCUGGCAUUAAGUUGUCGGGUAGGCAAUCUCCAUCUUUUACUGUGAAAAAAUUAGAGUGUUCAAAGCAGGCUUAUGCCGUUGAAUAUAUUAGCAUGGAAUAAUAGAAUAGGACUUGAGCCUCUUCUGUUGGUCUGAGGGGUGUAAGUAAUGAUUAAUAGGGAUAGUUGGGGGCAUUAGUACUUAACUGUCAGAGGUGAAAUUCUCGGAUUUGUUAAAGACUAACUUAUGCGAAAGCAUUUGCCAAGGAUGUUUUCAUUA